CUGUCACCGCCUUCGCUGAUGUGCGACGGAGUCCGAGGUGGUGGCGGCAACAAAGAUUUUCAGACGUCCAUCGCACCGUAUGUGAAGUGACACUCCACCUACGGCCCGAACACGGGAGAGAACGCUGAGCGUUACAAC
rfam:Corynebacterium marinum DSM 44953, complete genome.